rnacentral:lncRNA from 1 species
GGUGAUUGGUUAGGAUUGUGAUUUGGUUGUAUAAUAAGUUUAGAAUUGUGAUUUGGUUGAAUAAUUUGUUUUGUUGAAUUGAUUUAGAAUUUUUUUAGAAUUUUUUUAUUUUUUUUGUAUUUAUAAAAUCGAUUUUUGUAUAUAAAAUCGAUUUUUGUAUUUUACAAAACGAUUUUUCUAUAUAAAUUCGAUUUUUGGAUUUUACAAAAUCUUUUUUGUAUAUAAAUUCGAUUUUUUGGAUUUUAC